GACUGAGGUCGCCUUUUCCUGCGGUUGUCUGCUGGGGAUCACUCUUAACUUCUACAGGCUGCCUGCGGUUCCUUGCCACGUGGCCCACGGGCAGCUCACAACAUGGAUGUUUGCUUUCUUCCAGGCAACCUGGAGUGUUGACUUCCUCUUCUGCAACCAGCCAGAGAAAGUGCUCUGCUCUUAAAGGACUUGCCUGCUUAGGACAGGCCCACCCAGGACAGUCUCCGUUUCCUCCCAGAACACAUUUCACAUGUUCCAUUUACACUCAAGAGGAGGAGAUGAUAUGGGGGGAGAGGGAGAGGGAGAGGGUCCUAGGGAAUCAUCUUAAAAUUCUGCCUGCUAUAUCCAUGUACAGUGAAUCUCAUUCAGAUUAAUCACAUUUCACAUGCUUAGUACUCUCAUCUGUCUAGUGGCUGCCAUAUUGGACCUCCUAGCUCUAGGCUGUUCCGCUUCAGUCCUUCCCUCACAGUAAGAAGUUAGAGCAGGAAGUUUGCAAUCAUCUUGCCUAAUUCCCUCGUUUUAUCAACAAAGAAACUGAAGCAGAUCUGUGGAGAAGCAGAUCUCCCAUUUCCUGGGCCAGUACUCUCUCUCUGUAGCCUUCACUGCCCCCCAAAACUUAAGGGGUACCUCCGCCCCGGAGUUGGAGCAGUAGCUUCCAAAAAGAGAAAAGACAGAGCUUUUUCCCAAGGGCAGAAGAGCUGGAAACGAGGAUCUGGUUUCAUCCCGCAGAUCACAUGGGAAGUAUAUGGAGUGUGAGAUUAAUUCAUGAGUGAUAGGAAUGGGAAGAGGGACAUUAUGGACCUCUGAGGCUAAAGGGGGUAUCCAUACCCAUUAUGUACCACGGAUGAGCUGUGCCCCAAAUUCUCCUUCAGUCCCUGGCCAGAAAUGGCCAUCUGAAUCCAUGAGGUUUUACCCUAGAGAGUAAGCUUGAUGUUGCAUGAAGUACAGAAAUUUUUGUAUUUAAGUAGACUAGGUGUGGCAGGCAGUUUCUAGAAUGUGUGGCAGUGAUGUCUGCCUCCUGGUAUUCAUGCCCUUGUGUAAUCCCUCCUCCUUGAGCAUGGGCAGGUUUUCCUGAUUUGCCUCUAAUGAGCAGAAUAUGGCAAAGGUGAGGGAAUGUUGCUUCCAGGAUUGGGUAACACAAGAUUGACGUCCUGCUGGUUUUGAUGAAGCAAGUUGCCAUUGUGGCAAGGUAAGGACCCGAGGGCAAACUCUGGCCAACGACGAACUAGAAACUGAGGAAGUCAGUCCUACAGCCUGCACGGAACUGGAAUUCUGCCAACAACCAUAUGGACUUGAAAGUGGAUCCUUCUGCAGUCGAGACUCAGUUAAGACCCCAGCCCUGGCUGAACGCCUUUAUGUCAGUUUUGUGAGCCCCCGAAGCUGAGGACUCAGCUGAGCUGUGCCUGGAUUCUUGACCCACAGUAACUACGAAAUAACAAAUGUGUGUUGUUUGAAGCCACUACAGGCUUGUGACACAGUAAGAGACGAUGAAUACACUGAGUUUGCAUCCUGCCUUUACCACUAAAUGGCCGUGGGACCACGAGCCACGUGAUGUCUCCUCUUGGAUCCUUAUCUUCCUCGUCUGUAAAAUGGGAACAACACCUACCUUUCGGGAGUGUGGUGAAGAGAACCUCUUGCCCUUUCUUUACCCAGCGUAUCAGUUAAGAUUCAACAUAAGUUACGAGAACGCAAAGUGAGCCACGGUGGCCUAUCUGGAGAGGAGGUGACUUUUUUCGGCAAUCCAGGUGCAGCCGCCCAGGAAUGGCGCUGAAGACCCAGGCUCCUUGGCUUUUCCUCCCCUGCUCUUCUUGUGUGGCUCUCAUCCCUGCAGCAGUUAGAAGAUUGGCAGCUCCACUUCAGGCCUGCCUCAACUGUCCGUCAUCCCAACACCAGUGGCUUCUGGGCAAGCCCUUCUCAUGGCAGAGGGCAGAAGCUCUGAGAAGGGCAAACAGAAUCCCUGAGUGGUGACUCCCCUGUGACCACACUGCCAGGUCAAAGGAAAAAGGAAAGAAGACCCAGGAUUCCCAACUUAACCUGUGCGGUGGGCUGCCCAGCCCGGAUUCCACUGGGAUACAAGAGGAAACCCAGCAGAUACAGCAGGGAGGAAUCUGCCUGCCUCCCGCCCCUCCCCAAAGUGAGUCCUGAGUGAAUGGGACAGUCAGGGAUCCAGCCCUCUGGGUCCAGGAAUGUCCCUUGGGAUGGCUGUCGUUCCCUCUUCGACCCCCUCCCCCGCCCUCCUAGGCCCUGACUACAGACUGACCCUUGAGAAAUCCAGGUGAAGGAGGUAUCGUCCUAUGGGAGACGGGCUCUACCACAAAAAUGACAUCCCAACUGUUCAAGCAACAUUCCCCAAAUGUGGAGCAAUUUGAAACGAUCUUAGAAUGGACCUGGAUGCAACAUUUUGCACUGACUCUUGAGAAAGUUCUCUUCUCAGUCCUUCUGAUUACCCCAGGAAAGGGGUCACGGUUUUGAGAUCUGUGUCUUUAACAUGUCUUUAACCCUUGUUAAUCUUCGUUUAUUACCAGUU